rnacentral:rRNA from 1 species
CCUACGUGUGGCAGCAGUGAGGAAUAUUCGUCAAUGGGCGCAAGCCUGAACGAGCCAAGUAGCGUGAAGGAUGACUGCCCUACGGGUUGUAAACUUCUUUUAUAAAGGAAUAAAAUGAGGCACGUGUGCCUUUUUGUCUGUACUUUAUGAUUAAGGAUCGGCUAACUCCGAUCACGCAGCCGCGGUAAUACGGAGGAUCCGAGCGUUAGCCGGGUUUAUUGGGGUGAGAGGCAGUGUGAAUGGGUUGUUAAUGCAGUUGUGAAAGUUUGCGGCUCAACCGUAAAAUGGCAAUUGAUUCUGGCAGGCUUGAGUACAGGUGAGGUAGGCGGAAUUCGUGGUGUAGCGGUGAAAUGCUUAGAUAUCACGAAGAACUCCGAGUGCGAAGGCAGCUUACUAAACUGCCACUGACAUUGAUGCUCGAAAGUGUGGGUAUCAAACAGGAUUAGAUACCCUAGUAGUC